AAAAUAGAUGCACAAUUUGAAUAUGUAAUAUCAGCCAAAUCUGGAGCACAACUCGCAUCCAAUAUAUAUUCACAAUUGGAUAUUGAGAUUGUUAAAAUUACACUCUUAACUGUUUACUGUAGUUGCAAUGUUUUACUGCAGUAGAUUUUGUGUGGUCAGAUUAUAUGCCUGAUGAAUGGCUCUGAUCAUCUUUAGUGGUGACUUAGGGAGAUGUCCUAAGUCUCACAAAUCGGUUUUUAUUGUGAUAAGGAAAAUAGGUCGUAGCUACAGUGUGAGCUCGACUCCUUCUCUCACAUUCUCUUCAUCUGUUAUCCCAGCAGCAAAUAUAUUUGUGCUGUGAAAUUGUGUGAGUGCAGGUGAAUAAUUCGAAAAAAGAAACUAAAUUUUAACAAGAUUUCUGAUCACAAUGUUAGAACUGAAAACGAAACAAUAAGAAUUUCUCUGUUUGAUGCAAAUCCCAUUUUUCUAAUUUCUUUUUCCAAAUUGUUGAUAAAGAUGUGUGUGAAUCCAUAGUAGCUAUUGAAGUUACGGUGAAAUAAAUUGCUAGUGUGUGUUAGAGAUUAACUUGUAGUGCUAGAUUUUGCGGUAGUUAUGGUUGUGGAAUUGGUUGGAAUGGCAAUGAAAGGUUGUUAGAGUUAGUUUGGCAGUAAUGUGCCUAUGUGAGUUGAGUUAUCUGCUUAUGAUUUGAUUUCGGAAGCUCUCGAAUGGGACUUGUUGCUGAUUUGGUAUGUUGAAUUUCUGCUGGGUGUCUUGCAGUGCCGCGGUGAAUCGUGAAGGUAUGCAUUGUGCAUGUGUGUUUGAGUACUGUUGGUAGAAGUUGGGAAGAACAGCUAGACCUUCGGUUUUGUUAAGGAUGGGGCGUCUAAAGCUGCAAAUUGGAAUCAAGGCAGACGGAGAGCCAAAGGACUCUAAUGGAAUCUAUUAUGACAAAUAAGAAUAAGCAGCCAUGAAAGAGAAUAAGCAAAGAGAGAGUUAUAGACUAGCCGUUUUUUAGAGGGGAACAAGCAAGCAUAAGUCUGCAUGCAAGCUGUAAGUGUUCAAGUUUGUCAUCUUGCAAUGGAUUUAAGAGAGGAUACAACUUGCAUAUGAGCACUAUUGGCAUAUGUUGAAGGCAAUGAGUCUCCAUGCUUGGAGAGGCAUAUCAGAGCACAAUUUCUUUAUUGUUGGUUUGGUUAGGGAAAAAAAGAUCAUGUGAAGAGCUCAAGGUAUGAUGCUGAGGAGCAUGUAGAUUUAUGUGUUCAUAAUAAAACUAAUGUAUUUAAUGAUUUACAUGUAUAUGUAUAUGAGAUUUGUAUAUUGAGAAUGAAUGAGAAAGCUGUUGUUGGCCUAGAAA